rnacentral:lncRNA from 1 species
UUUAAGUUUUUAAUUUCGACCCAAUUUGGUCACCGAAAACUGUGCCGAACUGUAAUCUUUAUCAGAUAGUUGUUGGAUUUUAUUUCUCACUCUACGGGUGUCAGAAAAAUAUGAAACUUUAAAUCUAGCCUCAUAAAAAUAUUUCUGACUUAUCCUCCAAUUUUCAUAAUUUUCUGAGACUGUGCAUUUUCUGCUAAUUUAUCUAUCCCGUUUCCAACAGAAAAUUCUAGAUCUUCUGUUUUCAUUCCGAUUUCGGCACAAGUCACUUCUGACUUAUGUUUUACUUCUACAAAUUCAAUAAAAAUAGUUUCUCAUAUUAUUUUUAUUUAUUUUUAUUUUUAUACCA